AGAGUUUGUAGUCCUGGCUCAGGAUGAACGCUGGCGGCGUGCUUAACACAUGCAAGUCGAACGAAGCACUGAAGACGGAUUACUUCGGUUUGUAAGCUUUCUUUGACUGAGUGGCGGACGGGUGAGUAACGCGUGGGUAACCUGCCUCAUACAGGGGGAUAACAGUUAGAAAUGACUGCUAAUACCGCAUAAGCGCACGGAAUCGCAUGGUUUGUGUGAAAAACUUUGGUGGUAUGAGAUGGACCCGCGUCUGAUUAGCUGGUUGGUGAGGUAACGGCCCACCAAGGCGACGAUCAGUAGCCGGCCUGAGAGGGUGAACGGCCACAUUGGGACUGAGACACGGCCCAAACUCCUACGGGAGGCAGCAGUGGGGAAUAUUGCACAAUGGGGGAAACCCUGAUGCAGCGACGCCGCGUGAAGGAAGAAGUAUUUCGGUAUGUAAACUUCUAUCAGCAGGGAAGAAAUGACGGUACCUGACUAAGAAGCCCGGCUAACUACGUG
rnacentral:rRNA from 1 species